UCCAAUAUUGUAAGAGAAGAAGUAUCAAUUUAGAGGAGGGUAAUCCACAACCUCUAAAAAAUGCUAGUAUACCUUCAAGUAGAGGAGUAAUCCACACUCUACUAAGAAAGAACUAGCUCUGAUAUCUCAAGUUAGUGUAGUCUCGACAAACUGUCACGGACACAAAAUACAGACUUGAAAUCUAACAAGAAGUUCAAGAAAAAGUGGCAGAACUAGAUUAAACAGAUGAGUACAAGAACAACACCAGAAAGGUGAGCUAGAACUCCAAGAGAUGUG
rnacentral:lncRNA from 1 species